rnacentral:rRNA from 1 species
UGACCUCGGUUUAGGCGUGAUAACCCGCUGAACUUAAGCAUAUCAAUAA